rnacentral:rRNA from 1 species
AUUGAACGCUGGCGGAAUGCUUUACACAUGCAAGUCGAACGGCAGCACGGGUGCUUGCACCUGGUGGCGAGUGGCGAACGGGUGAGUAAUGCACCGGAACGUAUCCAAUAAUGGGGGAUAACGCACCGAAAGGUGUGCUAAUACCGCAUACGCCCUGAGGGGGAAAGCGGGGGAUCGUAAGACCUCGCGUUAAUGGAGCGGCCGAUGCCGGAUUAGCUAGUUGGUGAGGUAAAGGCUCACCAAGGCGACGAUCCGUAGCUGGUCUGAGAGGACGACCAGCCACACUGGAACUGAGACACGGUCCAGACUCCUACGGGAGGCAGCAGUGGGGAAUUUUGGACAAUGGGGGCAACCCUGAUCCAGCCAUGCCGCGUGAGUGAAGAAGGCCUCGGUGUAAGACUCUUCUAGCCGGACGGAAAUAGCAUGGGUUAAGUACCCUACGUGCAGAUGACGGUACCGGAACGUAAGAAGAC